GCAGAUAAAGCUUAAUGGUAGACUACAUGCUUGGCAUGCAUGAGGUUCUGGGUUCAAUUUCCAGUGUCUCUG
rnacentral:tRNA from 1 species